CACGUAGGGGGCAAGCGUUGUCCGGAUUUAUUGGGCGUAAAGAGCUCGUAGGCGGUUUGUUGCGUCGGCUGUGAAAUCCCGAGGCUCAACCUCGGGUCUGCAGUCGAUACGAGCAAACUAGAGUGUUGCAGGGGAGACUGGAAUUCCUGGUGUAGCGGUGAAAUGCGCAGAUAUCAGGAGGAACACCGGUGGCGAAGGCGGGUCUCUGGGCCAUAACUGACGCUGAGGAGCGAAAGCGUGGGGAGCGAACAGG
rnacentral:rRNA from 1 species